rnacentral:misc_RNA from 1 species
AACUUUUGGCAAUGGAUCUCUUGGCUCUCGCAUCGAUGAAGAACGCAGCGAAUUGCGAUAUGUAAUGUGAAUUGCAGAAUUCAGUGAAUCAUCGAAUCUUUGAACGCACAUUGCACCUUCUGGUAUUCCGGAGGGUAUGCCUGUUUGAGUGUCAUUAAACUAUCAACACAAGCAAUUUGUUUUGUUUUUGUGGCUGGACGGUGAAGGUUGCUGGCAUUACAUUUUGUCAGCUCCUUUUAAAUGCAUUAGCAGAUCUUUGUAGAGUCAGCUUCAGCUUUGGUAAUUAAGUUUUAUCUGCUGCUGCUGCUGAGGAACAUUUGGAUCAGCUUUCAAACUGUCUUCUUCAAGAGGACUGUCUCAUUAUUGAGGCAAUAAUUUUAAUUUUGACCUCAAAUCAGGUAGGACUACCCGCUGAACUUAAGCAUAUCAAUAAGCGGAGGCU